rnacentral:rRNA from 1 species
GAUGAACGCUGGCGGCGUGCCUAAUACAUGCAAGUCGAGCGAACGGACGAGAAGCUUGCUUCUCUGAUGUUAGCGGCGGACGGGUGAGUAACACGUGGAUAACCUACCUAUAAGACUGGGAUAACUUCGGGAAACCGGAGCUAAUACCGGAUAAUAUUUUGAACCGCAUGGUUCAAAAGUGAAAGACGGUCUUGCUGUCACUUAUAGAUGGAUCCGCGCUGCAUUAGCUAGUUGGUAAGGUAACGGCUUACCAAGGCAACGAUGCAUAGCCGACCUGAGAGGGUGAUCGGCCACACUAGAACUGAGACACGGUCCAGACUCCUACGGGAGGCAGCAGUAGGGAAUCUUCCGCAAUGGGCGAAAGCCUGACGGAGCAACGCCGCGUGAGUGAUGAAGGUCUUCGGAUCGUAAAACUCUGUUAUUAGGGAAGAACAUAUGUGUAAGUAACUGUGCACAUCUUGACGGUACCUAAUCAGAAAGCCACGGCUAACCACGUG